AGCGCCAUUUCCAGAGCUAUCA
rnacentral:miRNA from 1 species